GACGGAGGUGGCUAGCGUUGUUCGGAAUUACUGGGCGUAAAGAGUGCGUAGGCGGUUUAGUAAGUUGGAAGUGAAAUCCCGAGGCUUAACCUCGGAACUGCUUUCAAAACUACUAAUCUAGAGUGUAGUAGGGGAUGAUGGAAUUCCUAGUGUAGAGGUGAAAUUCUUAGAUAUUAGGAGGAACACCGGUGGCGAAGGAGGUCAUCUAGGAUACAACUGACGCUGAUGCACGAAAGCGUGGGGAGCAAACAGG
rnacentral:rRNA from 1 species